GUUUUCCCUAAUCUCAUAAUCCUCUCUCUCGGAGUUGUGGUUUGAUGCAUAUUCUGAUUUUUAUCUCAGGUGCUAAAUCCAUGGCAAUGGAGGGAGUAUGUUUAAUAGAAUUAUCAUCUCUUAAAAGUGACGUGAUCACUGCAACAGGCUAAUAACAUGAUUUCAGAUGGUACCUUGAAAGUGUACUAAUUUGUACUAAUGGCUACGAGAGUGGGAACGCACAUGAUAAUACAGAAUUACUAAUGGUGCUGGCGAGUACUGAUUUGGUUUGCUGCUAAAGGUUAUGUUGUGCUAAGAGAGGCAAAUAUAUAAGGAACGUAGAUGAAGGAGAAAAUGCUGUAAUCCAGUUGCUGACUGAGGGAGAAACACUUUGGCAUUCAUUCAUGCUCAACUCUCCCUGCUGCAGAGACAAAAAAUUGCUGCUCUUACUGAACUUGGUUAACAUUUGUACAUCUAAGGUUUGUUGGAAAACAUAUCCCUUUUAGAUGUAUUAAUGCUAACCCAAUUCAAGCUAGGAAAACUAAUACAAUUCCAAUUUAUACUGCUGCUCAGCUAGCUUCAGCUUCAGGUAAAGGUAAUUAGUCAUGUUUUUUUCUUUAUGUAGCAGUCAUCUCAAUGUUCAUCUAUACCUAGAGCAAACUAAUUUUUGUUUGAUUUUCAAAUCGAUUUAGCG